CGGGGCGGCCUCUGCCAGGCAGGGACGGACACGAGCCGGCCCUGCUGAGCGCGGCGACAAGGACGCGGACGCACGGAGCGGGACUUCGCCGGGGCCUUGGCUGCUCACUGCACGAUGUCGCAGAUCGUCCGGGCCUUCGCUUCCUUCGGUGGACUCCGCCGCUCAGCGGAGGCUGUCCGAAGGUCCGGUCUAAAGGCGAGGAGGAAAGGUUGUGAGGGGCUUUCCCCAGUGACAAGCGCAAGGUCAGGAAGGGACGCGUUCAGAGAACCCAGAGGGAGAGCAAGGCAAACCUCACAGCGACUGCUACAAAACCAGUGGUACAGAGAGGGACUUCACUGCCAGAAAUGUCUCACAGUCCAGCGAUCCAGAUUCACAGCAUUAGCUGCGAGGCUGUCUUUUAAUUAAAAGCAAUCAUUUAAAACAA